AAAAUCAUAGGCCAAACAGUUGAUAUCGGAACUUGCUGGCAUUUGGUUGUGGAGUGCGCGUUGGUACAACUACUCAGCGUUUUUUCGUACGUACGCCACGAAACGAGUACGAGUGUUUUAUAUGUGCAUCAGAAAAGCAAACUCUCGAAACGACGAAGGCGAAUUACAUACAAGUGGAUGCGCGCGCGAUUUCUCUCUCUGAAUUUUCAGUGAGUGCGAUAAGCAGUGUGUAUGUAAACACCGCCGCACGCACACCCUCACACACACGGACAGUGCAGUUUAGCGCGUGUGAGUACUUGAUACGGCAGCGCUAUUUGCGAUUUUAAUUCACAUACAGCAGCCGCAAUUAAAUUAGCAGCGGCUAUAAAGUGUGCGAGUGCCCCUGAAAGUGUACGAAUUGAUUGUGCGAAUAUAGAGAAUAAUAAUAAGCAAUAACAAGUAAUAAUAACAAAAAGUGCAGAGUACUUGUCUGUAUGUAUUGGCUGGACUCGGCAUUAUCAGUGUUUCGCAAAAGUUGAAGUGUCGUUGUGUGUGCGAGCAAAUCUGUGGAAAUUGCAAUUAUUCAGCAAGUGCUAAUUAAAUUAGUUGCAGCCAGAAGUUCAGCGGAAUUUGCUGUGAGAGCUGUUAGCGCUGGAAUACAACCGAAAAUACACAACUGAAGAUUUCAUACAAAAGAUACAAACAUAUUUGGCGCUAGAUUCUGCACCGUAAUUGAUCGAGCUUCGCAUAAAUCUCCUCCCAAAACGAAAAAAGCAUAAGAAUAAUCGAAAGUAAGGAAAGCAAAAAAUGCGACCAAAAGCAACUAAACAUUAAACGCAAGCGAAAGCGAAAGAGAGCACAUAUAAUUGUAAUAAACAUAAGCGCGCGUUCUAAGUCUCUCCGCGUUCCAGCAACUAGCAAUUUCCGCUUUAUGUGUAUCCAGUUUGCUUUGUGCUUUUUUAUCGCACAGAAGUAGUCUGCGCUCCAUCUUUGUUUCUCCAACACACACACUCACUCUCUAAACGUCUAUUGCACCGACCGAUCGCCCGAACCGCCUCAAGCCGCCUCAAGCCGCGCGUCCCAUACUCACAAAUUCGUUUCCAUUUCAACUAGUUGUU